rnacentral:lncRNA from 1 species
GGGAAUCUACUGCUACCACUAACCAUGGAUAGGACGACGUCGGUGGCCGAAGGCAGGAGCCCCCAAUCACCGACAUGAUGGAGGAGGAGAGUCGACGCAAGACGCGACAGCGCUGGCUAACACGGCAAUCAGCUUAGGACGGGAAGGUAUGACACAAGUUUCCCUUCCCCUCUCGAUCUCUCAUAUUAGAGUUAAGACUUGUUCAUUUUAUUGAGGUCAUAAUCAAAUUGGCAAAUUAGGGACUUAAGCUCGAUUCAGGACAUAGAAAUCUUUCGUGGACUGACCGUUAGACUUCUGCAAGAACAAAGCAAGACAUACUACCUCUGUUCUCAAAUAUUUGUCGACCGCUAGUUUAUUUUUAAACUAAACCGCGACAAAUAAAAAAGAACCGAGGGAGUAGUAUUUAUUAGUUAAUCAUUCCAUAGUUUAGAAAUACUAGCCAAAUGCUAGCGCGUGUGUUUGUUCCGGAUUAGUUAUGGGGUGCUGCUGCUGGUUUGCUUUGUAGUACAACGUCAAAGGUUUCCUACCUGGUUUGCUUUGUCCUAUGGUCUCCAGAUAGAUAUUUUGAGAAUCUUUUUUCAUCAUGGCGAGAAUCAUCUGCCAAACUCACAUGAAUAGGAACAAGGCGCGCCAUACAAAUUUGCCGAAACCAAAUCUCAGUUUCAAAUUUCAAGAACUACCAGGUGCUCAUCUACAUACACCUAGGCCUGGUUUGUUCCAUGGCUCAAUCCACAAAAUUGUCUUUUACAUUCUAGUAUCCAGCUGCUACCGUACUACCUCCAUUCCACCCCCCAAAAAAAAGUAGUUCUAAAUUUGCCCUCACAUCUUACAGGAAGAUGAAAAGUAGUUCUACAUUGAUAUAUAGUUAAAGCAUCUCAAGUUUAGUCAAAUUCAUUAAAAAAUAUAUCACUAACAUUUUACUCUAAACAUGUAUAAUAUAAAAAUAUAUCUCAUUAUUAUUAUAAAUCUAAUGUUGCUCAUGUGGUAGACUAAAUAUUAUUACUUUUUUGUACAGUCUAGAAUUGCAUAUUUAGUAAUACUGGCUAUUGAAGCAAAAUAGGAGGUUGACUUUUGCAGGUCGCACAUGUCGCCGCCAGUAUGGUAUGGUUCGUUUCAUGCCAUGCCAAGCCAAUGCAAGCAGUGAUGAUGGAGUAGUGAUUCCUAACCACCACCACCGGCAGUCAAGCGGUUGUUAGCUUUGAAAUUUAUGGAUGAAGAAACCUGGUCUUGCAGCCAAUGGGAGUGUCCUGCAGCAGCUACCUAGCCCUUAAUUAAUAAAUGCUCUAAAUGGAAUGAAAAAAAAUACAGUGCUGGGAAGAUGAAUAGCACAGGGUGGCGGACGCAGGAUGAGAAUUUAUGGGGCCAAAAAGUCCGCAUGACGAAAUCAAACAAGACCAUAAAAACUAGUGUUGCAUAGAAUUCAAGUUUAUAUCAAUACACGAUAGAAGUUUCAUAUUAAUACUAGAUUGUUAGGGCCCACCUGUCGGGCCUGAGCUCCCUUGUAUGUGCCUCGCUUGGCCUAUAAAAGGGAGGCACAUGCGUUGCAAGGGGACAAGCUCUUACAAACUCUCUCGAACUCAGACAUCCUCAGCAAUACAACCCACAAGUGGACGUAGGGUAUUACGCUCCAGCGGCUCGAACCACUCUAAACCCUUGUGUUCUUGUGUUCUUGCAUCUCCACAGGUAAAUCCUAGGUAGCCCCUUUGUUCUUAGUAUUAGGGGGUGCAUUCCGCACACCCGGCUGGAGUUUACUCUCCAACAUCAUCUAUUCCAAGUUUUACCCCUAUUUGGCUCGGUUUGAGCUAUUUCUGACUUGGAAACUCUAAAGUUGAUAUUAUGAACCAGUGAAUCAAAGACUUGGCAAACUAUUUAGUCCAUAUGAUUAUGAUUGAUAUUAAGCACCAAAAUCAAUAUAGAAAAUUGUUUAAGUUCAUUUCCCUUUCAAACCUCGGCCCUCAGCACCAACCAAACAUAGUCUAUUUGCAUGCCAAUCGUUCGAGAAGAAUGUCCAACUCAAGGGCAUGUAUUGUAGAGGUUGUUUGCUUAUGGUGGUUGUAAUACCAAGUACCAACUCCAAUAGUUUUGCUUCCACAUCCCUUAAAAUGUCACUCUAUCUGUGGGUCCCACCGUCAAUAGUACCAUCAACAGACUCCCCCUUCUAGUAGCCUCCCAACCAACACCCUGAUCACUCUCUGCAACCAGGAGAUGGUUGGGGUGCAUGCCAAUGAGACGAAGGCAACAAUGUUUACUUGUUAGGCGAUAGCAGCAUUGGAGAGAGGAGAUCAAAGGGCGGGAGGCGGCGAGGGAGGAGGAGGAGUGAGAUCGGAGGAUAGGAGGUGGUAGUGGAGGAGCAGCUCGGUUCGAACGAUGGUUGAGUCAUCUCCAACGAUGACAUAGUUGCACCACAACUUUAGGGGAGAUUAGGAGGCGACAGGAGAGGAGGUGCAAUUGGUUGUUGGAGUAGUAGCUCGAUUUACUCCAUGAUUGGAUCUUCUCAAACAACGGCUACAACACCACCACUGUUGUACGGGUGUACGUGAAGAGGCGGAAUAUGUCGCGGGAGGAGCAUCUUGGUUCGGUCACUGGAGGUAUCUUCUCCAUUGAGUGUUGAAAACCUAAACGAUGCUAAAGGGGAGAACAUGAAGAGGAGGUGGUGGUUCGUAGCCACAUUGCCGCAACAGGGGAGGAUGGGAGGUGGUGGUGGAAGAUGUAGAUGGUGCCGCGAGAGCAACAGCUCAGUUCGGUCCUAAGCGGGAUCUUCUCCAACGAGAGUGAAAACCCUAAGCGACGCUAUAGAGGAUGAGAGGGAACUGGGGAGGAUGUGUAAGGCGCCAUAGUGGAGCGAGCUGGCAGCUGAGCACGAUGUUAUGGGUGAAUGGAUGAGGCCGACAGUUGAAGUGCAAGGAGGAGAGAGCUCGCCAAGAUAUGAAGUAGAUGGAGCCACUUCUAUUUUUCAUGCAGUGAAGGGGGCAGUGCUGGGAAGAUGAAUAUUACUAGGGAUGGCAACGGGCACAUUUUACCCGCGUGCCCGUGGGUUAAAACCCUAUAGGGUGCGGGUUUGGGUGUGAGUUUGUACCCGUGGGUACGAGUACGGGUUUGAUUCUCAACCCGACGGGUUUUUUCUCGUGGGUAUGAAAAUGUUGUACUCAUGCCCGCAAACCCGCAUACCCAUGUGUGUGUCUGUGUAGACUGUAGAGCACAUGCAUCUCAAUUUAGUGCCACCCCGAAAGCUUUGAGCGAGCGGAGCCAAUCAAAUGAUAUAAAAGAAGACUACAGGCGUCAGGGAACUCGUAGAGCUUUUGGCUAAGAUCGGUACAUGUUUUUAUCAGUUUAAUAAAUAUUUAUUAUUAUAUGCUAUCAGUAAUAAAUAUUUAUUAUAUGACUGUGCCCGCGGGUGCCAUAAACCCGCGGGUAGCGGGUUUGGGUAACAUACGCUACCCUGUCGCGGGUGCGGGUACGGGUUUAACAUUAAUCUCGCGGGUACGGGUUUGUAAUCUCUGUACCCGCGGGUUUUAAACCCGUUGCCAUCCCUAAAUAGUACACAGUGACAGACGCAGGAUGAGAAUUCAUGGGGGGCAAGAAGACCACAUGACGAAAUCAAGCAAGACCAUAAAAACUAGUGUUGCAUAGAGUUCAAGUUUCAUAUCAAUACACGAUAGAAGUUUAAAGAAGGAAGCUAUAUGAACAAAAGAAGCAAACAUGUCGUUCAGUUCUUACUGACCGAAUUGAAGUCGUGCUUACCUUGUCGAAUGGCGAUCUUCUAGAAGGGCGGGGGUACUAAGAAAGGUGCAUAGUUGUCGAAUGACGAUCUUCUCGAAGGGCGGGGCACUAGGAAAGGUGCAGGGUUAGGCGACAUCUCCGGUCAAGAGCUAGGUCUCACUGGUUUGCUAAGCUCAUUGGCCACCAGGGACAGGUCACAAUGUCGUGACGAGAAAGAUCAGGUCGACAUCGCAACGACGACUAGGGCGAGGGCACUAGGAAUGGGUGGGGGCAGGGAGUGUCACACGUGGGGGAUGGGAGACGACGGGCAACAUUGGGAGCAAGGAAGACUAGCUCAGGCAGUGUCAGAAAAAAUGUGCUCGAACGGAUAUAUCCGAGGACUGGUCUGAGGAGAACGGGAGUCGAGAGAACUGUGUCAAUCCAAAAACUUAAUGGUAAGUGAACAUUAGGUAUAAGAGGUUAUAAAAAUUGAGGGAGUCAUAGCCCUCUUUGGGUCUACCCCUGAGGCCCUGAUAGUGCCAACGAGCGAGUAAAAUGGUGAGGUCCCAUUAUUAGACUGUCUCGGGGACGCGAGACUAUAGUUGACAAUGUUUACAGAAUGGAGUUUGAAAUAGGGGAUGAGAUAAGGAAUCUACUGGAGAUAGCUUUACGCAAGACUGUUGGAUGCGGUCUAACGUGUCGCGCUCUUGGAGAUCACUGUGCGUCUGCGUUAGUAUGCAAAUCUCGAAACCCCUGCGGUCAACUUGGCCAUGAUUAAAGGUAAAAAGAGAGGACUGAACUGUAUGUGAUGGUAACAACACCAACAAAAGGAAACGCGUACGUCCUCUACUACUGUUGCAGUAUCGGAAAAUCAUCUGCAAUCCAACAGAUAUUUUUCAGCCGGCCAACGAUUAAUCAGUCGUUGCUACGAGAAUGUACAGGGGAACAGUGAAACCGAACUUUAUGAAUUCUAUUGCAGUUUUUAUGUAGCAAUGGACAACAAUAAAACCGUUUAGACUUCUGGAAGAACAAAGCAAGACAUUGUCUUUUAUAUAGUUAGCUAAUCAUUCCAUAGUUUAAAAAUACUAUAGAGCCACCAAAUGCUAGCGUGUGUUUGUCCCGGAUUCGAAGAGGGCACCGUGACAGGUGUCUGACCUACCUUCCACAUGUCCAACGGUAUGGGGUGCUGGCUGGUUUGCUUUGCAGUAUAAAGUCAAAGGUUUCCAGUGUGGGCUGGACAGGUGAUGGCUGGUGUAACCGUGUAAAGCUAGAUACGCAUAUUAGUAUAGAUUAAUUAUACUCCCUCCGUAGUCGUCCUAAGUAAAUCGCUAUCAACUUUGACCGUGAUACCUGAUGUUUUAUAAAAUUUUAUAAUAUAAAAAUAAAAAUAUUAAAUUUAUCGUGACUUAAACUAUUAUAAUAUAUAACUCUUUUAGCUUAAAAUAAUUUAAUUAUAUAGAUAUAUAUUAAGUUAAAAUUAAAUAGUUUGAUUUAGAACAAAGCCAAAACGAUUAACUCAUGUACGCCGAGAGAAUAAUUUUUUAGUUGGAGGCCUCAUGCAUGUAAUCAGUGACGUGGUGCAAUGAUCUCUUGAGAGAUUGCAUGCCACGUGGAGGAUCACUGGUAUAAAUGGAGAUGACGUAUUCUGCCAAUCGGCGGCAACCAGUGCGUGCAUUUUCUAGCCAGAUGGACCAACUUUUGUCUGACAUCACUGCUGGCGCAAAUACAUGUUUUGAGAAUUGUUGGUUCCUUCUUUGCCAUCACAGACACUUUGGUGCUGUUUGGUUCAAAAAAUGUAACGUAAAUGGUAAUGGUAAUGGUUUCGGCUCGAUUACUGACGGUAACAAAUUUGAAUAGGCUGUAUCAAAUUUUAGUGUGGUAUCUGAUUACGAUUGGACUAAAACAAACAUGAUUUAACGUUAUCCGUUACCCAUUACGUUACAAAUAUGUGAACCAAACGGCACCUUUGUUGCUUGUCAUGUCCUAUGGUCUCCACAUGAAUAUUUUGAGAUUUUCAUGAUAGCAAGCAUCAUGUACCAAACUCACAUGAAUAAUGGAAACAAGGCGCGCGAUACAAAUUUGCCAAAACCAAAUCUCAAUUUCAAAUUUCAAGAACUACCAAUUGCUCAUCUACACCUAAGGUCUGAUUGAUGGUUGCAUGGCCCGAUCCAGAAAAAUGUCUUGUGUAUUCUGACAUCCUACUACUGCUGCUGCUGCUGCUAGCACCGCCUCCAUUCCACAUAAUUUAGUUCUAGAUUUGAUCUUACAUGACCCUCUCUACAUUGAUAUACAGUGAAAGCAUCUCAAGUUUAAUCAAAUUCAUUAAAAAAAUAUCAGUAACAUUUGACUCUAAACAUGUAUAAUAUAAAAAAUAUCUCAUUAUUAUAAAUCUAAUGUUUCUUAUCUGGUAGAAUAAAAGUUAGUAAAUUUUUGUAUGGUCUAGAAUUGCAUAUUAGUAAUAUAUUGGCUGUUUAAGCAAAAUAGGAGGUUGACUUUUGCAGGUCGCACAUGCCGCCGCCGGUAUGGUUCGUUUCAUGCCAUGCCAUGCCAAUCAGUGAUGGAGUAGUGAUUCAUAACCAACACCAACACCACCACCGGCAGUCAAGCGGUUGUUAGCUCAGAAUUUAUGGAUGAAGAAACCUGGUC